AGAAAAGAAAAGAAGAAAGGAGAAAAGACUAGAAGAGGAAGGGAAUUCAUAUUUCCCAUUCAUUUUCUUCUCCUUCCCGUGAACAUGCAUAAACCCCACUUCUCCAUCUUUUCUCUUCUACACUAAAUUGCUUCAAAAUUUCACCUCCAAUAAAUUACCCAUCUUCUCCCAACACCUUUCCAAAGUAGAGUUUGAAGAAAAGAAGAGAAAAUCAAAGAGAAAAUUCAAGGUUGAGGGAGAGUGAAUUACAGUAACCAAGGGUUGGAAAAUUUAAAGAAGAAGUGGAAAGGAAGAGUGGAAGUUCCAAAGGGAAAGAAAAGGAAGAGUAGAGAACUAAAGCUUGUGAAAGAUUUUGGAAAGUUAAGCCAGUUGAGCUUGGAUAAAAGAUUCCUCUUGUUAGAUGUGUGGAGUUCCUCCCUCUCCCUUUGGGAUGGACUGUAAAAAUGGCUUUUGUGAUUUUGCUUGAGGUCCCGUGCUUGCAUGGUGGUCCUAUCGGUUCAUGCUAUUCUUUUUGCAACAUUUAGUGUGACUUAUAUGGGAUGGUGUUCUUUCGGAGGCUUGAAGAUUAUUGCUCGUCUCCAUGGAACCCUUCAUUGGCAGAUUGUUUGAUUGUGCUUGUUUUGGUUCAAUAUACGUGUUUUGCUUUGUGA